rnacentral:rRNA from 1 species
UACGUAGGGUGCGAGCGUUGUCCGGAAUUACUGGGCGUAAAGAGCUCGUAGGUGGUUUGUCGCGUUGUUCGUGAAAACUCACAGCUUAACUGUGGGCGUGCGGGCGAUACGGGCAGACUGGAGUACUGCAGGGGAGACUGGAAUUCCUGGUGUAGCGGUGGAAUGCGCAGAUAUCAGGAGGAACACCGGUGGCGAAGGUGGGUCUCUGGGCAGUAACUGACGCUGAGGAGCGAAAGCGUGGGGAGCGAACAGG